UACAGAGGAGCCAAGCGUUGUCCGGAUUGACUGGGCGUAAAGCGCACGCAGGCGGUCGCGCGCGUGGGGUGUGAAAUCUGGCCGCUUAACGGCCAGGCGCCAUCCCAUACGGCACGACUGGAGUGAUGCAGAGGUCGGUGGAAUUGCCGGUGUAGUGGUAGAAAUGCGUAGAGAUGUGGAGGAACACCGAUGGCGAAGGCAGCCCCCUGGGUCAAGAUUGACGCUCAUGCACGAAAGCGUGGGGAGCAAACAGGAUUGAGAA
rnacentral:rRNA from 1 species